CUUCACCUGAGGAGGCCACAAAGUCAAUAAAUUCAACUACUGCAUUCAAGUUUAAUGGUGACGUUUCACGUUGGUCUGUAGCCCAACUUGUCUUCACGUGUGCAGUUACAGUUAUAUUAUUGGUAUUAGGCCUACAAAUCUCGAUUAUUGUCAUUAAGCGCACUUGCACAUAUGAACACCGAAGUCGUUUUCAGUUACCGCAAUGGUUUUCGAAAGUUGUAACCGAGUACAAGUCAACGUCUCUGCCACGACAGACUGGACCGUCGGAGGUAUUUGAUGAGCUGAAGUCUAGGCCUAGCUCAGGAUAUUUGCAGAUUGUUUUACAAGAGCAACAGACGAAAACAUGCGAUAUUAUUGAAGACCAGGGCUCUGAUCCAGAGGAGGAACAGAUCUUGAAGCAGGAUAACAGUGUGGGAAACUGUGUUAUUUUAAAAGACAAUGACUAUAUCCAAGCUACCUUCUUUUCACACAUGCCAUGAUCUGUGUGUGAAUGUAACCAUUAUGAGGAAUUCGGAAAUAUUAUGUGAUCUCACAUUGAUGGAGCGUCAAUUUUACCUCAUUUUUAAUACCUCUCCAAAAAAUGUACAUAAUGAACACAAUAAUGAAGAUAGUCGUGGUUAAAUUAAAUGAAAAAAAACUAAAAGUAAAUUCAUUUAAAUUUUGAUAUAAUAUUAUCAUAACAAUUAUGGUACGAUAAUUAUGGUGCGCAUAUUCCAUUUGAGGUGUUCAUAUACCAAACAAAACUCACGACGAGCUUAAGUGGCGCCAGACAUGAAUCUGAAGUCUAUAUUAUAUCCGGUGGCAUAUGAGUUUUGAUUA